CUUUGUGGUUGAGCGGGGUUAUGUUAAUUUGAUAUAGAAUUGAAAUAGGGGCUAAUUUUUGUCAUGUGAGGAGUAAUAUUCCGGAUGUUAGUGACACUCCUUG